rnacentral:lncRNA from 1 species
AAUUUGAGGUCCAUUGGAGGUGCAUAAAAAGAAUUAGAAUUACUUUAUUACCCUAAGGUAGCAUACACUUAAAAAUUUUGAAAACAGAAACCAUUAUGAAACUGGUCACGAACUUUUAACAGUGAGUUAUAGGGGUGAUAUAGAGCCUUUGGUGAAUUUUUCAUAAUUUUUAGUGAUGGGCAUCUUUUUCCAUACAAUUACCCUAUUUAAUCUUCCCUAAAAAGGAAAAGUUAUUUUUUUCUGUUUCUGAUCAAGUUCCAUAUUUUUCAUACAAACUACACUAUACCACUAC